UAAUUUUCUAAAUUAAAUUACUAUCUAAGAAUUUUUAAUAAAUAUUUUUCUUUAAAUAAUAGGUAAUAAGAAUUAUUAAUAAAAAAGAAAAAGGAAAAUAAAGACACUUCACGUUUCCUCUUUCCCUCACGCUUCCUCUCUCCCCCACGCUUCCUCUCUCUCACACGCUACCCUCAUUAGAUUCCCAUCACCCAACUACAUUUCCAUCACCACCUACCCACUCCAACGUCUCUCUCUGACCAAAAAGCAAAAAGGAAAUUAAAAAACAAGAAAAAGACAACUCACAUAAUAAUUCUCGUUUCUUCCAACGGAUAUGACAAAAUAAAAAUACAAAAGGCACACCAAGGUGACAGACACCCAAAAAAAUGACUCUCUCUGUUGGCAAAUAAAAGAAAGAGACAAAAGAAAAAGUCUCUCUCUCUCUCUCUCUCUCUCUCUC
rnacentral:lncRNA from 1 species